CAAGCGGAUCUCUUAAAGACUGUUCUCAGUUCGGACUGCAGUCUGCAACUCGACUGCACGAAGCUGGAAUCGCUAGUAAUCGCGGAUCAGCACGCCGCGGUGAAUACGUUCCCGGGCCUUGUACACACCGCCCGUCACACCAUGGAAGUCUGCAAUGCCCGAAGCCGGUGGCCUAACCACUUAUGUGGAAGGAGCCGUCUAAGGCAGGGCAGAUGACUGGGGUGAAGUCGUAACAAGGUAGC
rnacentral:rRNA from 1 species